ACGCACGCUGGCGGCGUGCUUAACACAUGCCAGUCGCACGGAAAGGCCCUGCUUUUGUGGGGUGCUCGCGUGGCGAACGGGUGAGUAACACGUGAGUAACCUGCCCUUGACUUUGGGAUAACUUCAGGAAACUGGGGCUAAUACCGGAUAGGAGCUCCUGCUGCAUGGUGGGGGUUGGAAAGUUUCGGCGGUUGGGCAUGGACUCGCGGCUUAUCAGCUUGUUGGUGGGGUAGUGGCUUACCAAGGCUUUGACGGGUAGCCGGCCUGAGAGGGUGACCGGCCACAUUGGGACUGAGAUACGGCCCAGACUCCUACGGGAGGCAGCAGUGGGGAAUAUUGCACAAUGGGCGGAAGCCUGAUGCAGCAACGCCGCGUGCGGGAUGACGGCCUUCGGGUUGUAAACCGCUUUCGCCUGUGACGAAGCGUGAGUGACGGUAAUGGGUAAAGAAGCACCGGCUAACUACGUG
rnacentral:rRNA from 1 species